UCUAGGCGACGUCGCCCCUGUGCUGGGAUGCUAUAUCACGAUAGCGGAUCAGCAGCCAGUUUUCUGGUCCACAGAUUAGGUGGUGGCGGUCUCGGUGUGAGAUCAAGAUAUAAUCGGUCGUCAUAGUCAGCAGCUAUGGCGGAAUAACGUUCCGUAGGUGAACCUGCGGAAGGAUCAUUAUCGAGCUAGGGUCCUUUGGGCCCCAUCUCCAACCCUUGUCUAAUCUACCAUGUUGCUUUGGCGGGCCCGUUCUCGACCGGACCGCUGGGGACUCCCCUCCCUGGCCCGUGCCCGUCAGUAGCCCCCAUCAAUUCUUAUCACGGUGAUGUCUAAGUAUGAAUAUAAUAAGUAAAACUUUCAACAACGGAUCUCUUGGUUCUGGCAUCGAUGAAGAACGCAGCGAAAUGCGAUAAGUAAUGCGAAUUGCAGAAUUCCGUGAGUCAUCGAAUCUUUGAACGCACAUUGCGCCCUCUGGUAUUCCGGAGGGCAUGCCUGUUCGAGCGUCAUUAUCAACCCUCAAGCUCGGCUUGCUGUUGGGUCUCGCCGUUGCAGAACGGCGGAUCCCCAAAGAUAAUGGCAGAGUCUGUAAGACCCUGGAUGCAGCGAGCUUCUAGCACGCAUCUGGACGGUGUUCAGGCUUGGUCUUAACCCACACAAUCUUCUGGUUGACCUCGGAUCAGGCAGGGAUACCCGCUGAACUUAAGCAUAUCAAUAAGCGGAGGAAAAGAAACCAACAGGGAUUGCCUCAGUAACGGCGAGUGAAGCGGCAACAGCUCAAAUUUGAAAUCUGGCCCCGUUGGGGGUCCGAGUUGUAAUUUGUAGAGGAUGCUUCGGGCAAGGCUGUGGUCUAAUUCGCUUGGAACAGCGAGUCAGAGAGGGUGAGAAUCCCGUCCAGGAUCGUAAGCCGCGUCCAUGUGAAGCUCCUUCGACGAGUCGAGUUGUUUGGGAAUGCAGCUCUAAAUGGGUGGUAAAUUUCAUCUAAAGCUAAAUAUGGGCCAGAGACCGAUAGCGCACAAGUAGAGUGAUCGAAAGAUGAAAAGCACUUUGAAAAGAGAGUUAAACAGUAUGUGAAAUUGUUGAAAGGGAAGCGCUGGCAAUCAGACUUGUGACUGACGGUUCCCCCGGCCUUCUGGCCGGGCUACUCCGUCACGUCCAGGCCAACAUCGGUUUGGGUGGUCGGUAAAAGACCCCGGGAAUGUAUCUACCUUCGGGUCGACUUAUAGCCCGGGGUGCAAUGCGGCCCACCUGGACCGAGGAACGCGCUCCGGCUCGGAUGUUGGCGUAAUGGUUGUCAGCGGCCCGUCUUGAAACACGGACCAAGGAGUCUAACAUCUAUGCGAGUGUUUGGGUGUCAAACCCCUACGCGGAAUGAAAGUGAACGGAGGUAAGAACCCCAUCAGGGGCGCAUUAUCGACCGAUCCUGAUGUCUUCGGAUGGAUUUGAGUAAGAGCAUAGCUGUUGGGACCCGAAAGAUGGUGAACUAUGCAUGAAUAGGGUGAAGCCAGAGGAAACUCUGGUGGAGGCUCGCAGCGGUUCUGACGUGCAAAUCGAUCGUCAAAUUUGUGCAUAGGGGCGAAAGACUAAUCGAACCAUCUGGUAGCUGGUUCCUGUCGAAGUUUCCCUCAGGAUAGCAGUAACGUUUUCAGUUUUAUGAGGUAAAGCGAAUGAUUAGAGGCCUUGGGGUUGUAACAACCUUAACCUAUUCUCAAACUUUAAAUAUGUAAGAAGUCCUUGUUACUUAAUUGAACGUGGACAUUUGAAUGUAUCGUUACUAGUGGGCCAUUUUUGGUAAGCAGAACUGGCGAUGCGGGAUGAACCGAACGUGAGGUUAAGGUGCCGGAAUGCACGCUCAUCAGACACCACAAAAGGUGUCAAUGCAUCCAGACAGCCGGACGGUGGCCAUGGAAGUCGGAAUCCGCUUAGGAGUGUGUAACAACUCACCGGCCGAAUGCAUUGGCCCUGAAAAUGGAUGGCGCUUAAGCGUGCUACCUAUACCUCGCCGUUGGGGUUGAAAUGAUGCCCCAACGAGUAGGCAGGCGUGGGGGUUGGUGACGAAGCC
rnacentral:rRNA from 1 species